GCGUUUUAAGCGGAUCCCGGGCCUCCGUGCCCAUUCUGAGUCGGGCUUUGCGUGAGGCCCCCAGCUUCAGGGCGCAGCCGACAGCGCCGGAGCCACUGGUAGCUGUGAGCGGAUCCCCGGCCUCCGUGUGCCU
rnacentral:SRP_RNA from 11 species